rnacentral:misc_RNA from 2 species
AAGUCGUAACAAGGUUUCCGUAGGUGAACCUGCGGAAGGAUCAUUACCGAGUGCGGGCCCUCUGGGUCCAACCUCCCAUCCGUGUCUAUCUGUACCCUGUUGCUUCGGCGUGGCCACGGCCCGCCGAAGACUAACAUUUGAACACUGUCUGAAGUUUGCAGUCUGAGUUUUUAGUUAAACAAUAAUUAAAACUUUCAACAACGGAUCUCUUGGUUCCG